AAAAAGGUAAGCUAAUAAAGCUAACGGGUUCAUACCCCGUGUAUAAUAGUAAAAUCUAUUCCUUCUUA
rnacentral:tRNA from 1 species